UUCCAGCGAGCGCAAGAGCUGGCAAUCUCCAGGAGCAAGAAACUGAGCAAGGAAGGCAAGGGAACAGCAGGGCUGAGUAGGGAACUGCUGGUCAGACUGAAGGGAAAGAAGCAAAGGGACAAAAGAAGCAGUUGAGCUAGAAUGGGUGGCCCAGGAAGAGCUUGCAGAGACCUUGAAGAGAUCAAGUUUGGUUGUGCAGGGUCAGGAUGAGGAAGUCCAAAGCAAAACUGGAAUUGAUCUUGGCAAAGGGCACAAAAAAUAACAGGAAGGGCUUCUACAGGCACGUUAACCACAAAAGGAAGGCCAAAGAAGUCUCCAAGGGCAACAUUUCUUCUCACAUCUCCUGAGAGGAUGGACAGCAGGACCCGGACUGAGGGAACAAAGUCCUUCCCACUGCAGUGAAAAUUCAUAACUUGUUACUUCUGCCUAUUGUUCUUCUGAUGUGCACCUCUAAGGAAAGUUUGGUUCCAUCGUCUCCACAAUGCCCCUGCAGCAACACUCAAGGGAGAGUAUUCUUAUGUUUGAAUCAGCUGGGAAUUACAAGAUACACACAUAUUGUAUUUACUGGGAUGGCACCCUGACCACAUCAUCCUAUCUAAGAAAGAAGAACCCUUGACAUCAGAUUAUGAGUGCAAGGUGAGCUUUUAACACCAGGGAAGAGGCAUAAAUGAGUCCUUCUGCUGAGAUGUUGUGUUACUGAGGAUCCUUAACUGAAACUGCACAAUUUGGAUUGCUUACAAGUUUUAGCAGUAUUGCAAUUGGGCCUAUGCAAGAUUGUAAUGGUUUGUUUAGACUGUGGAGACAUUCAGUGUCUACUGAAUGAAUGUUGAACAAGAACUAUGGCCCUUGGCUGCUAAGCAAGAGUUAUGGCCCUGAACUGUUGUAUCUGUCAGUCAGAUGCACCACAAACACACUGGUGGCCAUUGCUUGAGCAGAAGUGGGGGAAGUGGGGGCGCACCAUCACAUACAGACAUAACCUUGAAAAAAUGCCAAACAGAGGCAAGAAAAAUGACAAUUUCUAAUUCCAAUUUCUAGCUCUCUUGCCUCCCUAUAAUGAAGGAAAUGCAUGUAACACAGAGAAAGAUCACUUGCUUUACACUUAUUGCUGUUCUUCUCACAGGUUUUAUUGUAGGAAGUCACAAGUAUGGUCAAAAUACUAGAAGUAAUAUAUGAAGAAUACUUACAUUACAUUGGUCUAAGCAAACAAAAUGCAGUAUUUUAUUUAUGGCACAGCUUUAGAAGGGCAGAAAUGCAAGAGUGACAUAUAUAUAUUAUUAUUUUAUUAAUUAUCACAUCUGUUAAAUGAAAGUUAAAGAAUAUAAUUAUUGUUUUAAACAGCAAAAUGCUAAUUGUAUUUCAUAUUUGAAUGUUAGACACAUUGGAUUUCACUGUAAAGUGUUUGAAACUAUAUUUUUCUGAAAGGCUAAAAAUGAAAGCCAGUCUGAAAUGGCUUUCAUUUUCUAUUUUAAAAUAAAAUUUCUAUAUGAUUUCCACCUCACAUAUUAAAAACUUUUCUGCCACUCACAAGACACUUAGAUUAGUGGGAACUGGAAAAUGUCAGUUUGAAGGGAUUUUAUGAUCAAAAUAAGACCCCAGCAAAGAUUAGGAUAGAGAAUUUUUUAACUUGCCUUACUAUGUACAUUAAGAG